rnacentral:rRNA from 1 species
CGCGCAGGUGGGUUUGCAAGUCAGGGGUGAAAUCCUACAGCUUAACUGUAGAACUGCCUUUGAUACUGCAAAUCUUGAGUACGGAAGAGAGAGGCGGAAUUUCAGGUGUAGUGGUGAAAUACGUAGAUAUCUGGAAGAACACCAGUUGCGAAGGCGGUCUCUUGGUCCAAUACUGACGCUGAGGCGCGAAAGCGUGGGGAGCAAACAGGAUUAGAUACCCUGGUAGUCC